rnacentral:rRNA from 1 species
UACGUAGGGUGCGAGCGUUACUCGGAAUUACUGGGCGUAAAGCGUGCGCAGGCGGUUUUGUAAGCCCGGUGUGAAAGCCCCGGGCUUAACCUGGGAAUGGCAUUUGGGACUGCAAGGCUUGAGUGUGGCAGAGGAGACUGGAAUUCCUGGUGUAGCAGUGAAAUGCGUAGAUAUCAGGAGGAAGACCGAUGGCGAAGGCAGGUCUCUGGGCUGACACUGACGCUGAGGAGCGAAAGCAUGGGGAGCGAACAGG